GACGAACGCUGGCGGCGUGCUUAACACAUGCAAGUCGAACGGAAAGGCCCUGCUUGCCGGGUACUCGAGUGGCGAACGGGUGAGUAACACGUGGGUGAUCUGCCCUGCACUUCGGGAUAAGCCUGGGAAGCUGGGUCUAAUACCGGAUAGGAGCCAUUUUUAGUGUGAUGGUUGGAAAGUUUUUUCGGUGUAGGAUGAGCUCGCGGCCUAUCAGCUUGUUGGUGGGGUAAUGGCCUACCAAGGCGGCGACGGGUAGCCGGCCUGAGAGGGUGGACGGCCACAUUGGGACUGAGAUACGGCCCAGACUCCUACGGGAGGCAGCAGUGGGGAAUAUUGCACAAUGGGCGCAAGCCUGAUGCAGCGACGCCGCGUGGGGGAUGACGGCCUUCGGGUUGUAAACUCCUUUCGCUAGGGACGAAGCUUUUUGUGACGGUACCUAGAGAAGAAGCACCGGCUAACUACGUG
rnacentral:rRNA from 1 species